AGUGAACGCUGGCGGUAGGCCUAACACAUGCAAGUCGAACGGCAGCACAGUAAGAGCUUGCUCUUACGGGUGGCGAGUGGCGGACGGGUGAGGAAUACAUCGGAAUCUACUUUUUCGUGGGGGAUAACGUAGGGAAACUUACGCUAAUACCGCAUACGACCUACGGGUGAAAGCAGGGGAUCUUCGGACCUUGCGCGAUUGAAUGAGCCGAUGUCGGAUUAGCUAGUUGGCGGGGUAAAGGCCCACCAAGGCGACGAUCCGUAGCUGGUCUGAGAGGAUGAUCAGGCACACUGGAACUGAGACACGGUCCAGACGCCUACGGGAGGCAGCAGUGGCGAAGAUUGGUCAAUGGGCGCAAGCCUGAUCCAGCCAUACCGCGUGGGUGAAGAAGGCCUUCGGGUUGUCAAGCCCUUUUGUUGGUAAAGAAAAGCAGCAGGUUAAUACCCCGCUGUUCUGACGGUACCCAAAGAAUAAGCACCGGCUAACUUCGU
rnacentral:rRNA from 1 species